ACGAACGAUCAUCCUUGAUCUUCUACCCCUCAAACCACUGUGGACAAGAGAUGUGCUUUGGCGCCGAGAGGCGCCGCCUUUAUGCUUCAACUGAGUCUUUAUUGUCUGUCUAAAACAAAUGUCA
rnacentral:misc_RNA from 1 species